GAAUUCGCCCUUAGAGUUUGAUCCUGGCUCAGGACGAACGCUGGCGGCGUGCUUAACACAUGCAAGUCGAACGAGAAUCUGCGGAUAGAGGAUUCGUCCAAUUGAAGCAGAGGAAAGUGGCGGACGGGUGAGUAACGCGUGAGGAUCCUGCCUUGGAGAGGGGGACAACAGCUGGAAACGGCUGCUAAUACCGCAUGAUGCAUAUUAGUCGCAUGGCUGAUAUGCCAAAGAUUUAUCGCUCUGAGAUGGCCUCGCGUCUGAUUAGGUAGUUGGCGGGGUAACGGCCCACCAAGCCGACGAUCAGUAGCCGGACUGAGAGGUUGAACGGCCACAUUGGGACUGAGAUACGGCCCAGACUCCUACGGGAGGCAGCAGUGGGGAAUAUUGGGCAAUGGGCGCAAGCCUGACCCAGCAACGCCGCGUGAAGGAAGAAGGCUUUCGGGUUGUAAACUUCUUUUAAGGGGGAAGAGGAGAAGACGGUACCCCUAGAAUAAGCCACGGCUAACUACGUGCCAGCAGCCGCGGUAAUACGUAGGUGGCAAGCGUUGUCCGGAUUUACUGGGUGUAAAGGGCGUGUAGCCGGGGGAGCAAGUCAGAUGUGAAAUCUAUGGGCUUAACCCAUAAACUGCAUUUGAAACUGUUCUUCUUGAGUGCUGGAGGGGCAAUCGGAAUUCCUUGUGUAGCGGUGAAAUGCGUAGAUAUAAGGAGGAACACCAGUGGCGAAGGCGGAUUGCUGGACGACAACUGACGGUGAGGCGCGAAAGCGUGGGGAGCAAACAGAAAUAGAUACCCUGGUAGUCCACGCUGUAA
rnacentral:rRNA from 1 species